rnacentral:rRNA from 1 species
ACGAAGGUGGCGAGCGUUGUUCGGAAUCACUGGGCAUAAAGCGCACGUAGGCGGUGACGUAAGUCGGGUGUGAAAUCCCUCGGCCUAACCGAGGAACUGCGCCCGAUACUGCGUUGCUUGAGGACCAGAGGGGUGCAUGGAAUUUCCGGUGGAGCGGUGAAAUGCGUUGAUAUCGGAAGGAACUCCGGCGGCGAAAGCGAUGCACUGGCUGGUUUCUGACGCUGAGGUGCGAAAGCCAGGGGAGCAAACGGGA